rnacentral:rRNA from 1 species
AAGAGACAGCAGUCGCCACGGGAAUACGUAGGUGGCAAGCGUUGUCCGGAAUUAUUGGGCGUAAAGGGCUCGCAGGCGGUUUCUUAAGUCUGAUGUGAAAGCCCCCGGCUCAACCGGGGAGGGUCAUUGGAAACUGGGAAACUUGAGUGCAGAAGAGGAGAGUGGAAUUCCACGUGUAGCGGUGAAAUGCGUAGAGAUGUGGAGGAACACCAGUGGCGAAGGCGACUCUCUGGUCUGUAACUGACGCUGAGGAGCGAAAGCGUGGGGAGCGAACAGGAUUAGAUACCCCUGUAGUCCCUGUCUCUUAUAC